rnacentral:rRNA from 1 species
GAUGAACGCUGGCGGCGUGCCUAAUACAUGCAAGUCGAGCGAACAGACGAGGAGCUUGCUCCUCUGACGUUAGCGGCGGACGGGUGAGUAACACGUGGAUAACCUACCUAUAAGACUGGGAUAACUUCGGGAAACCGGAGCUAAUACCGGAUAAUAUAUUGAACCGCAUGGUUCAAUAGUGAAAGACGGUUUUGCUGUCACUUAUAGAUGGAUCCGCGCCGCAUUAGCUAGUUGGUAAGGUAACGGCUUACCAAGGCAACGAUGCGUAGCCGACCUGAGAGGGUGAUCGGCCACACUGGAACGGAGACAGGGUCCAGACUACUACGGGAGGCAGCAGUAGGGAAUCUUCCGCAAUGGGCGAAAGCCUGACGGAGCAACGCCGCGUGAGUGAUGAAGGUCUUCGGAUCGUAAAACUCUGUUAUUAGGGAAGAACAAAUGUGUAAGUAACUAUGCACGUCUUGACGGUACCUAAUCAGAAAGCCACGGCUAACUACGUG